rnacentral:rRNA from 1 species
CAGCCGCCGCGGGAAUACGAAGGGGGCUAGCGUUGUUCGGAUUUACUGGGCGUAAAGGGCGCGUAGGCGGACUGAUAAGUCAGGGGUGAAAUCCCAAGGCUCAACCUUGGAACUGCCUUCGAUACUGUUUGUCUUGAGUUCGAGAGAGGUAAGUGGAACUGCGAGUGUAGAGGUGAAAUUCGUAGAUAUUCGCAAGAACACCAGUGGCGAAGGCGGCUUACUGGCUCGAAACUGACGCUGAGGCGCGAAAGCGUGGGGAGCAAACAGGAUUAGAUACCCCGGUAGUCCCUGUCUCUUAUAC